UGGGGAAUAUUGCACAAUGGGCGCAAGCCUGAUGCAGCCAUGCCGCGUGUAUGAAGAAGGCCUUCGGGUUGUAAAGUACUUUCAGCGGGGAGGAAGGGAGUAAAGUUAAUACCUUUGCUCAUUGACGUUACCCGCAGAAGAAGCACCGGCUAACUCCGUGCCAGCAGCCGCGGUAAUACGGAGGGUGCAAGCGUUAAUCGGAAUUACUGGGCGUAAAGCGCACGCAGGCGGUCUGUCAAGUCGGAUGUGAAAUCCCCGGGCUCAACCUGGGAACUGCAUUCGAAACUGGCAGGCUAGAGUAUUGUAGAGGGGGGUAGAAUUCCAGGUGUAGCGGUGAAAUGCGUAGAGAUCUGGAGGAAUACCGGUGGCGAAGGCGGCCCCCUGGACAAAGACUGACGCUCAGGUGCGAAAGCGUGGGGAGCAAACAGG
rnacentral:rRNA from 1 species